CCUGCAUGUCUAAGUAUAAGCAAUUAUACAGCGAAACUGCGAAUGGCUCAUUAUAUAAGUUAUCGUUUAUUUGAUAGUACCUUACUACUUGGAUAACCGUGGUAAUUCUAGAGCUAAUACAUGCUAAAAAUCCCGACUUCGGAAGGGAUGUAUUUAUUAGAUUAAAAACCAAUGCCCUCUGGGCUCCUUGGUGAUUCAUGAUAACUUCUCGAAUCGCAUGGCCUUGUGCCGGCGAUGGUUCAUUCAAAUUUCUUCCCUAUCAACUUUCGAUGUUUGGGUAGUGGCCAAACAUGGUUGCAACGGGUAACGGAGGGUUAGGGCUCGACCCCGGAGAAGGAGCCUGAGAAACGGCUACUACAUCCAAGGAAGGCAGCAGGCGCGCAAAUUACCCAAUCCCGACACGGGGAGGUAGUGACAAUAAAUACUGAUACAGGGCUCUUUUGGGUCUUGUAAUUGGAAUGAGUACAAUUUAAAUCCCUUAACGAGGAACAAUUGGAGGGCAAGUCUGGUGCCAGCAGCCGCGGUAAUUCCAGCUCCAAUAGCGUAUAUUAAAGUUGUUGUGGUUAAAAAGCUCGUAGUUGAACCUUGGGCCUGGCUGGCCGGUCCGCCUCACCGCGUGUACUGGUCCGGCCGGGCCUUUCCCUCUGUGGAACCCCAUGCCCUUCACUGGGUGUGGCGGGGAAACAGGACUUUUACUUUGAAAAAAUUAGAGUGCUCCAGGCAGGCCUAUGCUCGAAUACAUUAGCAUGGAAUAAUAAGAAUAAGGACG
rnacentral:rRNA from 1 species